rnacentral:misc_RNA from 1 species
GAUGAAGAACGUAGCGAAAUGCGAUAAGUAAUGUGAAUUGCAGAAUUCAGUGAAUCAUCAAAUCUUUGAACGCAUCUUGCGCUCCUUGGUAUUCCGAGGAGCAUGCCUGUUUGAGUGUCAUUCAACUUGUCAACCACUUUGGAAGUUGUUUUUCAAUGUGGCUUGGAUGUGGGGGAUUUGCAGGCUUUUCUUCUGUCUGCUCUCCUGAAAUGCAUUAGUGGUGUCUUAAAGGGUUCACAACCACAGGUGUGAUAAAUUAUCUAUGCCUUUGGUAUGAACAGAACUGUGCUGCUUCUAAAUGAAAUGAGCGGAGGA